AACGAACGCUGGCGGCAUGCCUAACACAUGCAAGUCGAACGAAACCUUCGUGCCUAGUGGCGCUCGGGUGCGUACCGCGUGGUAACCUGCCCUUAGGUUCGGAAUAACUCACCGUAGGGGGACCUAAUACAGCUUAAUGUCAUCGGACCUAAGAUCUAUCGCCUUUGGAUGGGCCCGCGUUGGUUUAGCUGGUUGGUAGGGUACUAGCCUACCAAGGCGAGGAUCCUUGGCUGGUCGGAGAGGAGGAUCAGCCACACUGGGGCUGAGGCACGGCCCAGCCUCCGACGGGAGGGAGCAGUGGGGAAUACUGUGGGAUGGGCGAAAGUCUAGUCAAGCAAUGCGGGGUGAGAGAUGAAGGGCUUAGGGUUGUAAAGCUCUUUUACCCGGGAUGAGAAUGACGGUAACGGGAGAAUAAGCACCGGCUAACUACGUG
rnacentral:rRNA from 1 species